UACGUAGGGUGCGAGCGUUGUCCGGAAUUAUUGGGCGUAAAGAGCUCGUAGGCGGUCUGUCGCGUCGAUCGUGAAAACUUGGGGCUUAACCCUGAGCUUGCGGUCGAUACGGGCAUGACUGGAGUUCGGCAGGGGAGACUGGAAUUCCUGGUGUAGCGGUGAAAUGCGCAGAUAUCAGGAGGAACACCGGUGGCGAAGGCGACUACCUGGCCUGUUCUUGACGCUGAGGCGCGAAAGCUAGGGGAGCAAACGGG
rnacentral:rRNA from 1 species